rnacentral:lncRNA from 10 species
CAGGCUUGUCUCAAACUCCUGGGCUCAAGUGAUCCACCUCUGCCUCCCAAAGUGCUGGGGUUACAGAUGUGAGGCCACAACACCCGGCCUAGGAGUAAUGUUCUGAGGUGAUCUUAUCUCUGGCACUGCUUGGUCAUUCUUAAUCAUUUACAGGAAAAAGCAGAAGUUGUAACUGCAUGCUACGUGACUCAGGCUACAUAGCAACAUUCCUCUCAAGGCUUGGAAUAAUUUAAAGUUCCAACAGCUUUAAGUUUGAAUUAUCUAACCACAUUAUCGAAAGUUGGCCAGGCCUGGUGGUUCAUGGCUGUCUGUAAUCCCAGCACAUUGAGAGGCCACAGCAACAGGAUCACUUGAGGCCAGGAGUUCUGGACCAGACUAGGCAACGUAGUGAGACCCUCAUUUCUACGAAAACGUUUAAAAAAAAAAUAGCAGGGCAUGGUGACACAUGUCUGCAGUCCCAUCUACUUAGGAGGCUGAGGCAGGAGGAUCCCUUGAGCCCAGGAGUUUGAGGCUGCAGUGAGCUGUGAUCAUGCCAAGGUACUUCAG